GAUGAAGAACGCAGCGAAAUGCGAUACGUAAUGUGAAUUGCAGAAUUCAGUGAAUCAUCGAAUCUUUGAACGCAUAUUGCGCUCUCUGGUAUUCCGGAGAGCAUGCUUGUUUGAGUAUCAGUAAACACCUCAACUUCCAUAUCUUUUUUGAAAUGGGAGUUGGACUUGAGUGAACCCAACGCUUUUCCUCACCGAAAAGUGGCGGGUUACUUGAAAUGCAGGUGCAGCUGGACUUUUCUCUGAGCUAUAAGCAUAUCUAUUUAGUCUGCCUAAAAAACAGAUUAUUACCUUUGCUGCAGCUAACAUAAAGGAGAUUAGUUCUUGUGCUGACUGAUGCAGGAUUCACAAAGACGGCUUCGGCCGACUUUGUAAACUCGAUCUCAAAUCAAGUAAGACUACCCGCUGAACUUAAGCAUAUCAAUAAGCGGAGGA
rnacentral:misc_RNA from 1 species